GAUGAACGCUGGCGGCGUGCUUAACACAUGCAAGUCGAACGGAAAGGCCCAAGCUUGCUUGGGUACUCGAGUGGCGAACGGGUGAGUAACACGUGGGUGAUCUGCCCUGCACUUCGGGAUAAGCCUGGGAAACUGGGUCUAAUACCGGAUAGGACCACUUCUUGGAUGUUGUGGUUGAAAGUUUUCUCGGUGUGGGAUGAGCUCGCGGCCUAUCAGCUUGUUGGUGGGGUAAUGGCCUACCAAGGCGUCGACGGGUAGCCGGCCUGAGAGGGUGUACGGCGACAUUGGGACUGAGAUACGGCCCAGACUCCUACGGGGGGCAGCAGUGGGGAAUAUUGCACAAUGGGCGCAAGCCUGAUGCAGCGACGCCGCGUGGGGGAUGACGGCCUUCGGGUUGUAAACUCCUUUCGCGAGGGACGAAGCGUUUUUGUGACGGUACCUGGAGAAGAAGCACCGGCUAACUACGUG
rnacentral:rRNA from 1 species